AUGCAAGACUACUUCGCGGAGAAUCCAACAUAUCCACCGCACCUCUUCCGGAGAAGGUACCGAAUGCGCCGAUCCCUCUUUGUGAAAAUUGUUCAAGCUUGCGAGGCAAAUUGUCGGUAUUUUACUCAAAGAAGAAAUGUUGCGGGCUUAAAGGGAUUUAGUGCAUAUCAAAAAAAAUCUCGGCAGCUAUGCGGGUGA
rnacentral:rRNA from 1 species